rnacentral:rRNA from 1 species
AUUGAACGCUGGCGGCAUGCUUUACACAUGCAAGUCGAACGGUAACAGGGAGCUUGCUCCGCUGACGAGUGGCGAACGGGUGAGUAAUGCGUCGGAACGUGCCGAGUAGUGGGGGAUAACGCAUCGAAAGGUGUGCUAAUACCGCAUACGAACUGAGGUUGAAAGUGGGGGACCUUCGGGCCUCACGCUAUUCGAGCGGCCGACGUCUGAUUAGCUAGUUGGUGAGGUAAAGGCUCACCAAGGCGACGACCAGUAGCGGGUCUGAGAGGAUGAUCCGACACACUGGGACUGAGACACGGCCCAGACUCCUACGGGAGGCAGCAGUGGGGAAGUUUGGACAAUGGGCGCAAGCCUGAUCCAGCCAUGCCGCGUGUCUGAAGAAGGCCUUCGGGUUGUAAAGGACAUUUGUCCGGGAGCAAAUGCUGGUGGCUAACAUCCACCGGAGCUGAGAGUACCGGAAGAAUAAGCACCGGCUAACUACGUGCCAGCCGCCGCGGUAAGAC